ensembl:lincRNA 8430423G03Rik RIKEN cDNA 8430423G03 gene
AAUAGACCACACAUUCCACAGCCACGACGUUUAUUUCCUCUCGGUUACAUGCUACCCUGUGGGACGACCAGUUACAUUCUCUGGCCAAAAAGAAGAGGGGAGCCACGGGACAUCCCCCAGCUGUCACGACUCAGAAAAGGGAGUUCUCUUUCCUUAUUUCCUCUUACUGUGUGGACUGAGGAGUUGGCUGUGGAACAGAGCAAGGAGCCCAAGGACCAGGAGGAGAUAAGACCGUCAAUAAAAAGCUUCCUGAUGAACACCACGCCAAGGAAGAAAGAUGCCUUCCAAGAUCACUGGGGUCUCCAGGGCCCAGCCUUAGGUGAAACAGCCCGACCACCAUGGAUCUGACCAGCCCUCUGAGGAAAGAGAUAGCCCUCCCAUCUCCAGACUGAGGCCUACAGGGCUCCUCAGGACAGCCACUACCAGCACCAUGGUGAAAACAUAGAGGAGAAGCCCAGAAAGACUGAAUUCUGAAACAGGCGAAGGGGCGAAGGGACUCAUGGGAAUUUUUUUUUUUUUUUUUUUUUUUGAUUCUCUAAACCACCUAGUGUCUACCGCAGCCACCCACAACUGCCAUUGGAGUGGGAAGGCAGCUACAAAUAGUAUCAACUGGGACAGAAAUAAAUGAACAGUCGACUGGU